rnacentral:rRNA from 1 species
ACUAACGCUGGCGGCGUGCUUAACCCCUUCAAGUCGAACGGAAAGGCCCUGCUUUUGUGGGGUGCUCGCGUGGCGAACGGGUGAGUAACACGUGAGUAACCUGCCCUUGACUUUGGGAUAACUUCAGGAAACUGGGGCUAAUACCGGAUAGGAGCUCCUGCUGCAUGGUGGGGGUUGGAAAGUUUCGGCGGUUGGGGAUGGACUCGCGGCUUAUCAGCUUGUUGGUGGGGUAGUGGCUUACCAAGGCUUUGACGGGUAGCCGGCCUGAGGGGGUGACCGGCCACAUGGGAGACGGGAACCGGACCAAGCUCCGAGGGGGAGCAGGAGGGGGGAAUAAGACACAAGGGGCGGAGCCGUGUGGAGGAAACGCGGCGUGGGGAUUGGAGGCUUCGGGGUUAAAAGACGCUUUCGCGUGUGGCGAAGGGUGAGGACGGUAACUGGGGAAAAAGCCACGGCUAACUUCGGG